GGCUCUGGUGCCCAGCUGCACCCAUGGCCAGGAUGAGUGGCAGCACUGUGCAUGGGAUGCACUGGUCCUGUGACUGAGGUCCUGGCCCUGCCUGCUCCACCUGCCCACAACUCCCUUCCUGCCUGAUUCCCAAGCUCACUUCCAAGCCCUCAGCAUAAUUCUUUGAGCUACUUCCUGGCAUUCCACUCACACCAGCCAGCCUCAGGUCCUUUGCACCUGACGGACCCACAGCACCUAGUCUCUGCUCAGCUACAGGUGUCUCCUUAUCGUUCCCACCAAUGCCUACGCCUUGUGGGAAAUAACUGAAUGCACCCCCCCCCCUUCCAGCACGUCCUUUUACAUUUGUUGACCUUCUCAGGGGCCACUUCAGGCCUCUCUCUCCCCAAAUCCCAACUGCCCUCUCCAAACCCCUCCGUAAUACUUGCCCGCCCCACCUGUUGCCUUAUCCCCACACUGUCUUCAGGGAGACAGUUGUGAGGCCAGGACCACUGACUCCAGCACCCACGUUGCCUCUGUGAGGGUUUCAGACCACAGGCUGGGAUCAGCCGCCACGUUCUCUCUAACCUUCAUCCCACGUCCUGUGCCAUGCUCAUCCGUCGGUCCUGGAUCAACCCUAUUCGCCCUUCAGGUUCCACCUGAAGUUACGCCACCCGGGGAAAGUGAGACUGGACUCCCCAGGAUUUCAGAGGUGUUGCUGCCGAUGACUGGUGGCCAACCCUCUGUGUGGCAGAGCCUCCCAGGAGUGUGGUAUUGGCAGGACCAGCUGGCCUCGGGGAAGCUGAGGAGAGGGGAGCCUCACUCCACGCCCACCAGGGCUGGGCUCAGACUCCACUCCAGACAGCCAGUGCUGCUAGGUCGUUCCCUGCACCCAGCCGGUAUGACACCAGAUCAAGACUCACGUGUGAAAUGCAGAGAUGGAAAAAGAUCCAUCCGCGUUACCAUCAACACUGCAGCCUGGAACCCAUCCCGACACUAUCUCAAGUGGACGGCCAGCCCCGGAUGUGCUCCGACUGUGGUCAGCGUGUCCUUCUGCCGCCGGCCCUGUGACGGAGACACAGGGCUCUGUGGCGUGUCGUCCCCCGCAUGCGAUGACCUGCACAGAUGGCCUCUCCGGGAAGGCCGGGCAGCGUGGUUGGCUGAGCCUCCAGAAGACAGAUUGUCAGGCCGAAGCUUGACAGAGAGAGUGUGGGGUGCUCGCGGAUGCUGUUCCAGAAGGCCAGCUGCUGCCGGGUCCUUCCCUCGCCUCAAGGUGAAGGACAGUCCUGAAAAGGACAAGAUUGGAACAACUCGCCAACAGAACAUGCCACCCAUAUGCAUUACUUGGGUCUCAUUUACUUUCUAAAGGAUAAAUG